AGAAGGUGUAAGCUAAAGAAAAAUGGGCAAAAAAACAAAAAAAAUCAGCUAAUGCUUUAACAUUAAUGGUCUGUAUGUAAAAAUUGGAUACUAGAUUGCAGAUAUUGUCCCUUUAACCUGUGCAUUCCAUUUUGUCAAAAUAAAUCACUUCCUUAAAGGCACAUGUAAUCGAUCACAGUGGAAAUCUAUAUUAAUCUCUACCCCUGCUACACAACCUCUGUAGCAGCACUAAUCUAUCACAAUAAAAUCAUAGGUUUUUACAUAACAGUAUAU